GUGUGUGUGUGUGUGUGUGUGUGUGUGUGUGUGUGUGUGUGUGUGUGUGAGAUAACCUGUCUGUCUGCUGGGGGGUAUAUUGUUUCCAGUGUGGAGGAGCUCCCGUAGAAAAAUAGUGAAUCCCAUCUGUCUGGGAAGGGCCCGAGGCGUUAGAGCAGAAAACACAAGAAAGGAUCCAGUCACAACAGUUAGCUGUUGCGCCUCUGGGGAGGAUUAACCAGCCGCGGGGCGCAUGCCACAUCUGUGGUAUCAGAUGUAACUAAUGUGUGUGGUAAUUGAGUGUGUCUGUGGGUUGUCCAGGGACACUGAUCGGCCCAGCCACCAAGUCGGCAGUUUAAAGGCCAGCUACUUCCUGCUCAUUUCAGCUCUCCUCUCUCCACCUUAGCCGGCGAACCUCUGGAGGUUUUCCGGGGGACCAACUUGGAGGGAACUGGGGAACACCUCGGAACCCCCCCAAGAGGAGCCGGAGAGCGCUGCUGGGGAAAAGGACUUCUGGAGCAUCUGGAGUGUCAUUGGGGCCUGACCCUAGAUAAGCGGACAAAAAAUUCAAUAAGGCUGAUCUGAUCCAAAUGUGCCAAUGAAAAAAAAGUAUAAAACAACAAAAAAAUCUGCAGCAGAUGCAGGACUGGAGAUGUGGCUAUGACCAGCGAGCAGAGCAGGAGCUGGGAAUAAAUUAGACUUAUUAUUUGAGGAAAGAGAAACCCCUACAGCGCCAUUCAAACUGCCCUUUUGAGGUGAGGAAUCUAGGACCGAUAUUCCUCCUCACUGUCUGCAUGAAAAGUGGCGGAAUGGGGGGACAGUUUCAUUUUGUCUUCUGAAGACACUACCAGCAACCACGUUGCUGUUCUAAGAAGACGGCAUCCCUGCAAUUGUGAUAAUGAGGAGUCAUCGU